AUUGAACGCUGGCGGCAGGCCUAACACAUGCAAGUCGAACGAGUGGCGGACGGGUGAGUAAUGUCUGGGAAACUGCCCGAUGGAGGGGGAUAACUACUGGAAACGGUAGCUAAUACCGCAUACCAUCGGAUGUGCCCAGAUGGGAUUAGCUAGUGGGUGGGGUAACGGCUCACCUAGGCGACGAUCCCUAGCUGGGCUGAGAGGAUGACCAGCAACAUGGGAACGGGGACACGGUCCAAACCCCUACGGGAGGCAGCAGUGGGGAAUAUUGCACAAUGGGCGCAAGCCUGAUGCAGCCAUGCCGCGUGGAUGAGGAAGGCCUUCGGUUUGUAAAGUACUUUCAGCGAGGAGGCGUUACUCGCAGAAAAAGCACCGGCUAACUCCGUGCCAGCCGCCGCGGUAAUUC
rnacentral:rRNA from 1 species